CCAAAGGCUCUUUUCAGAGCCACCCAUCGUUUCGAGAAAAGAGCCG
rfam:Callithrix jacchus chromosome 19, whole genome shotgun sequence